rnacentral:rRNA from 1 species
GAUGAACGCUGGCGGCGUGCCUCAAACAUGCAAGUCGAGCGGGGCUAUGUAAUAUCGCAAGGUAGAACAUAGCCUAGCGGCGAACGGGUGAGUAACACGUGGGUAACCUGCCUGGAAGACAGGGAUAACGAUUCGAAAGGGUCGCUAAUACCUGAUAAUAUCCUUUCAUCGCAUGGUGAUAGGAAGAAAGGGGAAACCCGCUUUCAGAUGGGCCCGCGUCCCAUCAGCUAGUUGGUAAGGUAAAGGCUUACCAAGGCGACGACGGGUAGCCGGUCUGAGAGGAUGUACGGCCACACUGGGACUGAGAUACGGCCCAGACUCCUACGGGAGGCAGCAGUUGGGAAUCUUAGGCAAUGGACGAAAGUCUGACCUAGCGACGCCGCGUGAGGGAAGAAGGCCUUCGGGUUGUAAACCUCUGUCAGUGGGGGAAAAGUAAGUGACGGUACCCAAGAGGAAGCCCCUGCUAACUACGUG